ACCUGAAUAGUUUAAUUAAAAUAUUGAUUUGUGGUGUCAAGGAUGUAACUCGUUACUUCGGGUA
rnacentral:tRNA from 1 species